rnacentral:rRNA from 1 species
UCCCUUAGAUGUCCUGGGCCGCACGCGUGCUACACUGACGCCUACAGCGAGUACUUCCCAGCCCCGAGAGGUGGCUGGUAAUCAGCAAUAGGCGUCGUGAUGGGGAUAGAUCUUUGGAAUUAUGGAUCUUGAACGAGGAAUGCCUAGUAAGCGCAGGUCAUUAGCCUGCGCUGAUUAAGUCCCUGCCCUUUGUACACACCGCCCGUCGCUCCUACCGAUUUCGAGUGGUCCGGUGAAUCUUUCGGACUGCGCGCGGCCUCGUGCCGUGUCGCGGAAAGUCAGCUAAACCUUAUCACUUAGAGGAAGUAAAANUCGUAACA